UCCAAUCCGAGGAAACUACUUUUGUUGAGAAGCUUAUAGCACCUAUAAGGACUGGGGAUCCUCUGCUGUGUUCCUGGGCAAAGCCUGACUUUUCAGUGAGAGUCCUGGCAGUGCUGGAAAGGAGGAUGUUUGAUUUUGCUCUGUGAUUUUUGCAAGUGACUUCUUGGAAAUCAAAAACCUGUACAGACAACAGUUGACUGAAAGCUGCAGUUACUUAAUUUAAGAUUAAAAGUGGAUGCUCUAAUGGGAAAGCAUUGGCUUGCACAUCUAGAGAGACACAUCAGAGAGCUCUGAGGCAGUUUCAAAGCUUCCACUGAAGACUUUCUGUGCAGGGGACAACGG